CGGUUCGACGAAACAACUCGGGCUAGAGAGAACGGAUUCGAUUGUAUUCUUUUCAGUGGAAGGGAGGGAUGGUUUGCCGUUUGUUGCACGACGUCCCCGAGGCGGUAAAGCGUAGAAGCAUGGCGACAUCUGAGAUCCAGUCCACCAAGGGGAAGUCCGUAUGCUCCGUCUCACUCUCGGUUCCUCUCCCCACGUCGUCGGUUGAGGACGAGCCGCCCGACGAGAAGAAAGGUAAGACCGUCUCCCACCCACCCGCCCGAUUGCCGUCCCGAAACGCUUCCUCCAAGUACGACUUCGUCAAGGUGAAAGUAUGGCUCGGUGACAAUGCCGAUCACUACUACGUCCUCUCCAGAUUUCUUCUCAGCAGAAUGCUAACCGUUACCAAGAUUCCUAAUCAUGUGGCUAUCAAAAUUGCACUUGAACUCAAAAAGCUACUCGUGGAUAAUAGCCUUCUCGAUGUAUCACAGUCUGACCUGGAAGCCAAUCUUUUCAAGCUCAUGGAGCGAAGAAAUUAUGGAGAAGAGUACAUAAACCGAUAUAAAAUGAUGACUAGGUUUCAUCACCAAAGAGUACCAUUGGUCAUUCUUGUAUGUGGAACUGCUUGUACUGGAAAGUCCACGAUUGCAACACAACUUGCUCAAAGACUUAAUUUACCAAAUGUCUUGCAGACAGAAAUGGUGUAUGAACUUUUGCGCACAUCAACAGAUGCCCCAUUGACUUCCACACCAGUUUGGGCUCGUGAUUUUAAUUCACCUGAAGAGCUAAUAACAGAGUUCUGUAGAGAAUGCAGGAUUGUUAGGAAAGGCUUGGCUGGUGACUUGAAGAAGGCAAUGAAAGAUGGGAAGCCUAUCAUAAUUGAAGGUAUACAUUUGGACCCAAGUAUUUAUUUAAUGGAAGAGGAAAACAAAGAUUCCAAUCCAAAAGAUGUAGUGUCAGGAACUUUGGUGGACACUACAAAAAUAGUGGAAAGUAGUCCAGAAAAUGUCAUUGAUGAGAGCUGUUCUGCAUCUGUAGAUGAUACUGAGAAUACUUUGACUGUCCCAGAGACGGAAGUAACUAUGGAUGAGAGAGGCACUUCUGAGCUUAAAGACGCUAAUGAUUCAAGACCUACUUUGGGUGCUGACAUUUCUUCUGAAUCUCUAGGUGAUGCUCAUAAGGACUUGAAGUUGCAAAUUGACAACACCUUGAAACCUGAAAAAUCAGGCAGUGAGCCAAUAAUUAUUCCAAUAGUUUUAAAGAUGGCUGAGUUUGAUCACAAGGCUCUUUUAGAGGAAUGGGUAGGCACUCGAACAUUUCAAGAUAAAUGCAUAGUCAAGGACCAAAAUAAGCUUAUAAGCAACUUGAAAACCAUUCAGGAUUAUCUUUGUUCUUUUGAGUCACAGGGAAUGACAGUCGUGAACAUAUCUGCGACAACAUUCCCUCAAACUCUGGAUCGUCUCCAUAGCUAUCUUCUUCAGUGUAUUGAGCAAGGAAUUCCGGUUGCAGCUUCUAAAAACGGUAGGCCCUAGGAGAACUAGGGUAUUCAGAGCUUCAGAUCUAAAGCAGUUGAGAGUCACUUUGUUAUGACUUUCAUAUACCAUUUCAAUUCAUGAUGGUGUAUGCAUUGGCAUUUUGAUCAUGAAGGGUAGUGCGAAUUGGAGGAUGAUUUUAGUCUUUAAAAAUUGGUAAGAACGUCAGUGUUUCGUUUGUUUUCAUUUAUUGUCCAACUCAAAUGGUCUCCUGCUGAAUUUCGUGCUUGAAUUUUGGUAUGCAAUAAUCUCGACAUCAAAUUUCAAAUGCCUCGGUUAUGAUUCGGUGCAUCCGAGAAAACAUUCUGACCCAGUUGAAAUGUUAGUUCCAACGAAGUUCUGCAAAAUGCAUUGCGGAUGAACUGAAAUACGUUACCACUUUCGUUCCUCAGCCAUACAAGUAAAUGUGGCAGCUCUUCACAUGGAAAUCAAAGUUGAUGAAUUUGUGGAUGGAUGUGCAGUUGCAUUAAGAAGAAAAAAUGGGCCAUUAAUUUUUUUUGUUGUUGUAACUAAGGAGGAGGAUGAUGUUGUUGCACUGAUGUCCACAGUCCACCACUCUGACUGUGAUUACCGCAUCAUCUCCCUUCAGCUUUUGCCUAAUUAAUCAGGUCUUUUUAUUGCUGCUACAAUAAUAAAUAAAUGGAAAGAUUUUUAAAAUUAUUAAUGUUAUGAGUUAAUAUCUUUAAAAAUUUUAAA